CUUGCUCUCGGGUGACGAGCGGCGGACGGGUGAGUAAUGUCUGGGAAACUGCCUGAUGGAGGGGGAUAACUACUGGAAACGGUAGCUAAUACCGCAUAACGUCGCAAGACCAAAGUGGGGGACCUUCGGGCCUCAUGCCAUCAGAUGUGCCCAGAUGGGAUUAGCUAGUAGGUGGGGUAACGGCUCACCUAGGCGACGAUCCCUAGCUGGUCUGAGAGGAUGACCAGCCACACUGGAACUGAGACACGGUCCAGACUCCUACGGGAGGCAGCAGUGGGGAAUAUUGCACAAUGGGCGCAAGCCUGAUGCAGCCAUGCCGCGUGUGUGAAGAAGGCCUUCGGGUUGUAAAGCACUUUCAGCGGGGAGGAAGGCGGUGAGGUUAAUAACCUUGUCGAUUGACGUUACCCGCAGAAGAAGCACCGGCUAACUCCGUGCCAGCAGCCGCGGUAAUACGGAGGGUGCAAGCGUUAAUCGGAAUUACUGGGCGUAAAGCGCACGCAGGCGGUCUGUCAAGUCGGAUGUGAAAUCCCCGGGCUCAACCUGGGAACUGCAUUCGAAACUGGCAGGCUAGAGUCUUGUAGAGGGGGGUAGAAUUCCAGGUG
rnacentral:rRNA from 1 species